UGUAAAAUAAAUGUAAUUUGCCUAUUAAUCGGGGCAACUGGCAGUAAUAUACAACCUAAAUAUGUUCCAGAAAUAUAACUGCUUUGUAUUUACGAUGUUUUCCUCAACCAAGCAGCAUGUUUAUUACGAAGUAGUGAGAAUUUACACGUCACAAUACCAAUUGUCUGGCCUGGUAAUUGAUUACGACACAAUAGCAAUUCACAUGUUAAUAAUUUGCGUCAUAAUACCAAUCUUUCCUUUGAUUAUUUUACCUGCAGUUGCUUGAAAACAGGUUAAAUAUUUGCUUUUUCACGCAUGCGAUCAACUAUAGUAUUAACGUUUGCAAUAAAUACUUCUUACGCUCGUAAAUGCAACGUAUUGUGCUCUUGCUUUAGUGAUUAGAAUAAGACCGCUAGACAGCUUUAGCGUUAGAAAUGGGUAUGGCACGUACCCUAUAAAUAUUUUGAGGUAUGCGCCGCAUACCGGCAUACCUAGGAUCGGCGCCCAUGAUCGUGUAACAACGCAUUAUCACUAUCAACGCAAAAGUGAAAUAAAAUAACCAAUCGGUUUGCGUCAUACUUUAGCCUCAUAUUUACCAUGUUUUUUAUUGCUGGGUAGACUGUUUGUUACGUAAUAGUAGUGGAUUCAUUGCAUUAUAAUAGCAAUUGUUUUACCUGGCAAUUGAUUGCGACAUAAUAGCAAUUCACACGUUGAUUGUUUGCGUCAUAAUAGGCAUUUACACCUUCAUCCUUUAGCAUGUAGGAGGUUUCAAAACAGAUUAAAUGUUUGCGUUUUUAAGUAAACCUUUACGUGCGUCCUAGUUUAACCUUCCUGUGCGUCGUAUUUUAGUCUCACGUGGGUCAGAAUUUAGCCUUCAUGUGUGUCGUAGUUUAGCCUUCACGUGCAUCAUGUUUUAGGCUUAGUCUUCUGUUAACGUGCCUCGUCUUUAGCCUUCACGUGAGUCAUAGUUUAACCUUCAUGUGUUUCAGAGAUUAGCCUUCACGUGCGUCGUAUUCUAGGCGCCACGUGUUUCGUAGUUUAGCCUUUACGUGUGUUAUAGUUCAGUCUUCACGUGG